rnacentral:rRNA from 1 species
AUACGGAGGGUGCAAGCGUUACUCGGAAUCACUGGGCGUAAAGCGCGCGCAGGCAGCUAUUUAAGUUGGAUGUGAAAGCCUACGGCUCAACCGUAGAACUGCAUCCAAAACUAUUUAGCUAGAGUGUGGGAGAGGAAGAUGGAAUUAGUUGUGUAGGGGUAAAAUCCGUAGAGAUAACUAGGAAUACCAAAAGCGAAGGCAAUCUUCUGGAACACUACUGACGCUGAGGCGCGAAAGCGUGGGGAGCAAACAGGAUUAGAUACCCUAGUAGUCC